rnacentral:rRNA from 1 species
CCUACGGGAGGCUGCAGUGAGGAAUAUUGGUCAAUGGACGAGAGUCUGAACCAGCCAAGUCGCGUGAAGGAAGACUGUCCUAUGGGUUGUAAACUUCUUUUAUCUGGGAAUAAAAUGCUCCACGUGUGGCGUUCUGUAUGUACCCGAUGAAUAAGCAUCGGCUAACUCCGUGCCAGCAGCCGCGGUAAUACGGAGGAUGCGAGCGUUAUCCGGAUUUAUUUGGUUUAAAGGGAGCGCAGGCGGAAUGUUAAGUCAGGUGUGAAAGUUUGCGGCUCAACCGUAUAAGUGCAGUUGAAACUGGGAUUCUUGAGUACGGUAGAGGUGUGCGGAAUGCGUGGUGUAGCGGUGAAAUGCUUAGAUAUCACGAAGAACUCCGAUUGCGAAGGCAGCUCACUGGAGCGCAACUGACGCUGAGGCACGAAAGUGUGGGUAUCGAACAGGAUUAGAUACCCGAGUAGUC